AGGCCUCACUUUUCUGAUAAGACUCCACAUGGGGAGGAGGGAGUUGCACAUUUGCUGCAAGAAAAUUCACAACGAAUGCAUGAUGAUCAGGCCUUCUCUGAAACUGGGGAUGUUGCAUCUAUUCCAGAUACUCCAAAAACAUCUGUUGAAGUACUUGGACUAGAAGGGUCAACUGUUUCAGUCUAUGUUCUUAUUAAUUCCAAAGACUUGAUUCUUAAAUGUUUGACAAAAAAGUUGUUAAUGCAGAGAAUCAUUGAUCCAAAGUAUCAGUGGAUUGGUCCCAUGGGAUUGAUAACCAAAGAAUCACAAAGAUUUCUUUUAACUGAUGAAGGCAACUUGGAGGUCUAUAACAUCCAUGCAAGUGACUCUGGGAGUUACACCUGCAGCGUUAUCUAUAUGCAUAAUGAUAGACAUGUGAUAACAGAAUUCAGUUUUAUGA